GCAGGUGAAGAAAAAGUACUGCCGAAGACCACACACGAUGAUGAAUCUUCAGCUGCUAAGGUGGGGAAUUCAGAAAGUUCAGGGAUAAAACAACGUUUGGUUAAACUGUUUAAAGAGUUAAAUCUCAAGGCAUUGUUGGCCCCUUCAACUAUUGGAGCGAUUAUUGGAUACAUAAUUGGAGUGGUUCCUCUAUUCAGAAAAUCUUUGAUAGGAAGUGGUGCUCCACUUAGAGUGAUCCAGGACACUGCUGUAUUGUUCGGGUACAACCUAUGUUUUUCCCAAAAUCUCUACAUCUUAUUAACCAUCUAAACUGUUCUCCAAAACUCUACAGGGAUGGAGCCAUACCAGUCCUCACCCGUAUAAUUCUAGGAAAUCUUCUUAGAGCCUAACAAAAAGCAUACUACAUUUAAGAUGACUAAACUACUAAGACUUCAGAUUAGCUUUGUUGUUGUUGUCUUUUUAAGGUCUAAGAGAACAGAGAAUCCAGAAAUCUCUAGUUGUUUGGAGUCGGAGAGAAAGAAUGCUCUGUUCUGUUAUCUUGUUUUGGACUUAUGCCUUAGCAUCAAUUUCACUUACUAUUUGGUGCACAUAUUUCAUGUGACCUUGUGACAUGAUGGAAAUGAGUCACACGACUUAAGGGAAUUAAAAUUUGCA